GCGCAUGUGCUGUGAGCUCGAUGAGUAGGGCGGGACACGUGGUAUCCUGUCUGAAUAUGGGGGGACCAUCCUCCAAGGCUAAAUACUCCUGACUGACCGAUAGUGAACCAGUACCGUGAGGGAAAGGCGAAAAGAACCCCGGCGAGGGGAGUGAAAAAGAACCUGAAACCGUGUACGUACAAGCAGUGGGAGCCCCACCACUAAGCCAGUGGUGAACUCCACAUCCGCAUCCUUUGCUGAGGAUACGGUUAACGGAGCGAAAGCGACGUUCAACCGCAAAACAAGCAGAGGGGGCUUAGUGGUGGGGUGACUGCGUACCUUUUGUAUAAUGGGUCAGCGACUUAUAUUCUGUAGCAAGGUUAACCGAAUAGGGGAGCCGGAGGGAAACCGAGUCUUAAUUGGGCGUUAAGUUGCAGGGUAUAGACCCGAAACCCGGUGAUCUAGCCAUGGGCAGGUUGAAGGUUGGGUAACACUAACUGGAGGACCGAACCGACUAAUGUUGAAAAAUUAGCGGAUGACCUGUGGCUGGGGGUGAAAGGCCAAUCAAACCGGGAGAUAGCUGGUUCUCCCCGAAAGCUAUUUAGGUAGCGCCUCGUGAAUUCAUCUCCGGGGGUAGAGCACUGUUUCGGCUAGGGGGCCAUCCCGGCUUACCAACCCGAUGCAAACUGCGAAUACCGGAGAAUGUUAUCACGGGAGACACACGGCGGGUGCUAACGUCCGUCGUGAAGAGGGAAACAACCCAGACCGCCAGCUAAGGUCCCAAAGUCAUGGUUAAGUGGGAAACGAUGUGGGAAGGCCCAGACAGCCAGGAUGUUGGCUUAGAAGCAGCCAUCAUUUAAAGAAAGCGUAAUAGCUCACUGGUCGAGUCGGCCUGCGCGGAAGAUGUAACGGGGCUAAACCAUGCACCGAAGCUGCGGCAGCGAACGUAUCACCCAAGACAACUUUACGGAGUUGACGAUUGACGGAGCGAAGCGACGUCAAAGCGUUCAUUAAAGUCGAGUUGGCUUAGGGAUACGUUCGUUGGGUAGGGGAGCGUUCUGUAAGCCUGUGAAGGUGUGUCGUGAGGCAUGCUGGAGGUAUCAGAAGUGCGAAUGCUGACAUAAGUAACGAUAAAGCGGGUGAAAAGCCCGCUCGCCGGAAGACCAAGGGUUCCUGUCCAACGUUAAUCGGGGCAGGGUGAGUCGACCCCUAAGGCGAGGCCGAAAGGCGUAGUCGAUGGGAAACGGGUUAAUAUUCCCGUACUUGGUGUUACUGCGAAGGGGGGACGGAGAAGGCUAUGUUGGCCGGGCGACGGUUGUCCCGGUUUAAGCGUGUAGGUGUGUGUUCCAGGUAAAUCCGGUUCACUUUAACACUGAGGCGUGACGACGAGGCA
rnacentral:rRNA from 1 species